rnacentral:rRNA from 1 species
UUCCGGUUGAUCCCGCCGGACCCGACUGCUAUCAGAGUGGGACUAAGCCAUGCGAGUCAACAUAGCAAUAUGUGGCAUACGGCUCAGUAACACGUAGUCAACAUGCCCAGGGGACGUGGAUAACCUCGGGAAACUGAGGAUAAACCGCGAUAGGUCACUACUUCUGGAAUGGGUAAUGACUCAAACCUAUAUGGCCCCUGGAUUGGACUGCGGCCGAUCAGGCUGUUGGUGAGGUAAUGGCCCACCAAACCUGUAACCGGUACGGGCUCUGAGAGGAGGAGCCCGGAGAUGGGCACUGAGACAAGGGCCCAGGCCCUAUGGGGCGCAGCAGGCGCGAAACCUCUGCAAUAGGCGAAAGCCUGACAGGGUUACUCUGAGUGAUCUCCGUUAAGGAGAUCUUUUGGCACCUCUAAAAAUGGUGCAGAAUAAGGGGUGGGCAAGUCUGGUGUCAGCCGCCGCGGUAAUACCAGCACCCCGAGUGGUCGGGACGUUUAUUGGGCCUAAAGCAUCCGUAGCCGGUUCUACAAGUCUUCCGUUAAAUCCAGCUGCUUAACAGAUGGGCUGCGGAAGAUACUAUGGAGCUAGGAGGCGGGAGAGGCA